rnacentral:rRNA from 1 species
GAUGAACGCUGGCGGCGUGCCUAAUACAUGCAAGUCGAGCGAACGGACGAGAAGCUUGCUUCCCUGAUGUUAGCGGCGGACGGGUGAGUAACACGUGGAUAACCUACCUAUAAGACUGGGAUAACUUCGGGAAACCGGAGCUAAUACCGGAUAAUAUUUUGAACCGCAUGGUUCAACAGUGAAAGACGGUCUUGCUGUCACUUAUAGAUGGAUCCGCGCUGCAUUAGCUAGUUGGUAAGGUAACGGCUUACCAAGGCAACGAUGCAUAGCCGACCUGAGAGGCGGAUCGGCCGCACUGGAACUGAGACACGGUCCAGACUACUACGGGAGGCAGCAGUAGGGAAUCUUCCGCAAUGGGCGAAAGCCUGACGGAGCAACGCCGCGUGAGUGAUGAAGGUCUUCGGAUCGUAAAACUCUGUUAUUAGGGAAGAACAUAUGUGUAAGUAACUGUGCACAUCUUGACGGUACCUAAUCAGAAAGCCACGGCUAACUACGUG